rnacentral:rRNA from 1 species
UACGUAGGGGGCAAGCGUUGUCCGGAAUCAUUGGGCGUAAAGCGCGUGUAGGCGGUCCGGUAAGUCCGCUGUGAAAGUCGGGGGCUCAACCCUCGGAUGCCGGUGGAUACUGUCGGGCUUGAGUACGGAAGAGGCGAGUGGAAUUCCUGGUGUAGCGGUGAAAUGCGCAGAUAUCAGGAGGAACACCGAUGGCGAAGGCAGGUCACUGGGCCGCAACUGACGCUGAGGAGCGAAAGCGUGGGAGCAAACAGG